AUUGAACGCUGGCGGCAGGCCUAACACAUGCAAGUCGAGCGGAUGACGGGAGCUUGCUCCUUGAUUCAGCGGCGGACGGGUGAGUAAUGCCUAGGAAUCUGCCUGGUAGUGGGGACAACGUUUCGAAAGGAACGCUAAUACCGCAUACGUCGUACGGGAGAAAGCAGGGGACCUUCGGGCCUUGCGCUAUCAGAUGAGCCUAGGUCGGAUUAGCUAGUAGGUGAGGUAAUGGCUCACCUAGGCGACGAUCCGUAACUGGUCUGAGAGGAUGAUCAGUCACACUGGAACUGAGACACGGUCCAGACUCCUACGGGAGGCAGCAGUGGGGAAUAUUGGUCAAUGGGCGAAAGCCUGAUCCAGCCAUGCCGCGUGUGUGAAGAAGGUCUUCGGAUUGUAAAGCACUUUAAGUUGGGAGGAAGGUUUGUACGUUAAUACCGUGCAAUUUUGACGUUACCGACAGAAUAAGCACCGGCUAACUCUGUGCCAGCAGCCGCAGUAA
rnacentral:rRNA from 1 species